GAGCGCGUGUGCACAGUCUCCAUUACAGGUUCGAGGAUGUAAGAUACAAAAAUAGAUCAAAUGGACUUCAGUAAAUCAGUGUGAGAUCAAACACGGCCGGUUAUCUUCCUUUUCAUCGCUUUCAAUGUUAAGUAACAUAUAAAUAAGGUAUGUUUCCCAAAAUAUCGGCAGAAUUGGUUACAGAAUCAUCACCUCAAUUUAUUACUACUUUGAAGUCUCAGAAAGUAAUUGAGAAUGUUGAUGUCAAGCUGUCCUGCACAGUGUCUGGUAAUCCAGAACCAGAAGUCACCUGGUACAAAGGAGACAAGCAGCUUACUAAAGUUCUUGGAGUUCUUAAAUAUGAAGUGCUUAAGGAUGGCAAGGUUCACACACUUAAACUAUACAGAUGCACGGAAGACGACGCCGCCAUCUACCAAGUGUCUGCCACAAACUCAAAGGGGAUUGCCAUCUGCUCCUCGCUCUUACAAGUGG